UACGGGGGGGGCAAGCGUUGUUCGGAAUUACUGGGCGUAAAGGGCUCGUAGGCGGCCAACUAAGUCAGACGUGAAAUCCCCAGGCUUAACCUGGGAACUGCGUCUGAUACUGGAUGGCUUGAAUUCGGGAGAGGGAUGCAGAAUUCCAGGUGUAGCGGUGAAAUGCGUAGAUAUCUGGAGGAAUACCGGUGGCGAAGGCGGCAUCCUGGACCGAGAUUGACGCUGAUGAGCGAAAGCUAGGGGAGCGAACGGG
rnacentral:rRNA from 1 species